rnacentral:rRNA from 1 species
AGCGAACGCUGGCGGCAGGCCUAACACAUGCAAGUCGAACGAACCUUUCGGGGUUAGUGGCGGACGGGUGAGUAACACGUUGGAACGUGCCUUUAGGUUCGGAAUAACUCAUGGAAACUUGUGCUAAUACCGAAUGUGCCCUUCGGGGGAAAGAUUUAUCGCCUUUAGAGCGGCCCGCGUCUGAUUAGCUAGUUGGUUGAGUUAAUGGCUCACCAAGGCGACGAUCAGUAGCUGGUCUGAGAGGAUGAUCAGACACAUUGGGACUGAGACACGGACCAAAAUCCUACGGGAGGCAGCAGUGGGGAAUAUUGCGAAAUGGGCGAAAGCCUGACGCAGCCAUGCCGCGUGAAUGAUGAAGGUCCUAGGAUUGUAAAAUUCUUUAAACGGGGACGAUAAUGACGGUACCCGGAGAAGAAGCCCCGGCUAACUUCGUG